GCUUAUCAACUGUUCAAUGAAACACGUUCCUACUUAAAUUUUUAAAUGCCUUUAACUUAUAAGCUAAUUUUUGUAAGAUAGGCAAAACACCCUUUAAGUUCAAUGGAUAUAAAGCUUGUCUAAAAGAGCAAAUUAUUAUUGCUUUCAUGUAUAUUUUUGUAAGAAUACAAGAACCUAAGGAUUAAUUUCACCAAUAGUCCCUUAAUUUAGGUGCUAUAUUAGCAUUGUCUCUCAACUUCAAUUUAUAUUGUAAAAAUAUCCUAAUUUAAUUUUAGUAUUAUUAAAAUCUCCAUGACUUGCUAUACCGAUUUGAAGGUUAACUUAUGUCUAGAUUUCACUCACUGUCCCUCAACUUAGAUAGGUGUAUCACAAUCGUCUUUUAACUUCAAUUUACAUCACAAAAAUUCUUUAACUUAAAUUUAAUAUAUUUUUCCUUUGAAAUUUAUAAAAAAUAAAUCAGAAAUUAUGAUUAUAUCAUUUUUCUUUCAAACUUUUAUAGUUGGUAUAAAAUUUAACAUUUUUAUUUCUUUUUUACUUUUUUUGAAAUAAA
rnacentral:misc_RNA from 1 species